GACGAACGCUGGCGGCGUGCUUAAUACAUGCAAGUCGAACGGAAAGGCGCUGCUCUUGUGGGGUGCUCGAGUGGCGAACGGGUGAGUAACACGCGAGUAACAUGCCCUUGACUUAGGGAUAACUCCAGGAAACUGGGGCUCAUACCGGGUAGGAGCUCCUGCUGCAUGGUGGGGGUUGGAAAGAUUCGGCGGUUGGGGAUGGACUCGCGGGUUAUCAGCUUGAUGGUGGGGUAGUGGCGUACCAAGGCUUUGACGGGUAGCCGGCCUGGGAGGGUGACCGGCCACAUUGGGACUGAGAUACGGCCCAGACGCCUACGGGAGGCAGCAGUGGGGAAUAUUGCACAGUGGGCGGAAGCCUGAUGCAGCAACGCCGCGUGCGGGAUGAUGGCCUUCGGGUUGUAAACCGCUUUCGCCUGUGACGAAGCGUGAGUGACGGUAAUGGGUAAAGAAGCACCGGCUAACUACGUG
rnacentral:rRNA from 1 species